rnacentral:lncRNA from 1 species
GAAAGAUGAAAAAGCAAUUGGAUUUAGAGUGAUAAGAGAUGGACUGUGUGUGGUUCAACAUGUAGAGAAACUAAGAAAGUCACUAAAACGGAAUGUGUCACAGAAAAAGGCAUUGGACAAGUGAAGUAUCAGUUUAAGAAGCCAACUCCUUCCUUAGGUCCGUAUACACAACAAUUCUACCACCAAAGAGGACAUCAAAAAUGAAUUAAAAAAACAAACCUUUUUUGAUUGUAGAAAAGGAUUAAACAUCACAAACUAACAAGUGUAGAAAAGGAUCCAAAUCACAGUAACCUUUGAACAUUCUAAUUACAAGAAGUGUAGGAAAAGAUUAAACUUUCACAUUCCAAAAACUCAGAAUCAAGCCAACAAGAUUCCUGAAGAUUUCUAUUUCCAAAUUAUAAAAAAUCCACAUCUAAUGGAGGAAGAAGAACAAUUUACUGCUCCAAAUUAAACAUGACAAACGAGCUUAGCUUUACUAGUUUUAGUAAAAUUUAUGAGCAACAAAGUCAAAACAGACAUGGACACAUAAAAACACCAAAAAAUUCAUACCAGAACUAUAGAUUCGAUAAGAGCGAAGACGAUUAGCAAUAAUUAAGACUGAUUAGACUCACCAGUCGAAAUCUGAAAGCAUGAAUCUAAUUAAGUUGUGAGCUCUUCGUGUUUUUGCCUCAAAAUAUAAAAAGAGGAGCUAGCAACAAGUAUACUAUUUCACUUUUUUUAGAGUUUUUCAGCCAAUCAGAAGGCUCUAUUUCGCAACCACUCGCACCAAGUGCGCGUUGCGCGAGUGAGAGCAAUUCUUGAAGGGGUUUACCUUUAGGAAUCAUGCCUAUUUUGAUCGACGCACUUCUCUCCAAAAUUUCCAUCGCGUGACUUUUUUGUUUUUUUGUUUUCUUCUUCUCUUAACCAAUGUAAACCGAACCAAACAUUAAUUGUAAUUUUAAAACCAUUGUAAACCGAAAUCAAUUGUAAUUUCAAAACUAUGUAAACCGAACAGCUCGUCCUCAUCGGAAUAUUUUUUCUCCCUCCGACGGAAGACUAAAGUUUCUAGGGUUUUUGCUUUGUUUUAACUGAAAUAACAAUCCGAAUUUACCAAUAUAUUUCUCUAACGAAAUCAACAAAUAGUAGCACUGUGAACAGAAAAUUUCUAGCAGUUUCCAUGAUUUGGCUGAGUUUUGAAAGGGGUUUUUGCCACAGUAAGUUCUUGUGAAUAUGAGUGUCUACAGUUUGGUGGAUGAAGUUUACAAGUCUGGUUGGUACAGGCUAGAAAAUGUAUGAACUCUUGUUUUUUUUUUUUUUUUGCCAGCCAAAACCCAUUUCAUUAAGUCAGAAUCAUGAAACUCUCCUCUAAAGAGAGCCUAACAUGAACCAUACAACUUACAUGGGUAAAAAUAGAUAGAGAAUCACGGGAAGUUGUUCGCAAAACUAACUUUAAAACUCGGACGGAACAACAAAAAGCAAAGUAACUAAUACAAAGCAAAAGAUAAGGGAUUCUAACAAUCCAAAAGAUAGAGAGUGUCCUCUCGGAAUGAGACCAUCCGGUCCAAAGGAUGUUUAACCUAUGACAGGCCACCAUCUUUUUAAUGCAACAACUCCAAAGACUUUUCAGAAUUUGAAAGCUCUUGCUACUCCAAACUUGCCCCUGAAGUGUGAAAACUCCUGAUCCCUGAAAAGGGAGGUUGCAAGUAGGACGAGCACAAAUGCUCGCGAUCCAAAAGCCACUACCAUCAUUCCCUAAAGAAUUUUGACACUGGCUUAAUUCUUCUAUGAUUAUUCCCAGCUGGAAAACCGAGAUUCUAGCUUCACCAUCUUCCAAACUAAUUAGCAAUGCACCAUAGUGAUCCCGGUCUAGCGGAGUGUAGAACGUGCACACCUCCUCCAGCAUCAAUUUGGAGCCUCGUUUGCUCUUAGUUUUCAAAAGAAGCCCAAGUUUCAUCUGACCACAAGGUUGGCAGAGAGAAUUCUUAAAAAAGCAUUGGUUUAUUCUGGACCAAUCCUGGGCACUAGUAAUACUAAGGAGGUAAUCCCUCAGUUGCCAUACUCCAGAGCGGGGAAUGCCACAAUGGCUCCAUACAAAACUAACAUAGUCUAUGCUUUUUACAAUUGAAUCUUCAAAGAGAGCUCCAACAGAUGAAAAUGAUGAGGAAAAUAACAACACUUUACUCUCAAAGAAGUAAGUUGAGAUAAAAAGACCUUUAUGCUCUAGGAAUUGUACAUUGAAGCUACAACGAUAACCUUGCAAAUUUUGCAGAUUUGUUUUACGAGUCUUAGAUUUUGAUAAAAACAUCAAAUCUAAUAACUUGAAACAAUACAUCUUAACUAAUCGAUAAGAUGUGAAUCUUGCUUUGGCCCCUUCACAUGAAUGAAGCAAUCUCUCCACAUGAGAGGAAAUGGUCGAAUAACGGACAAGACUAAAUAAUAUUCUGGCCCAAGUCCGGGCCCACCAAGAAGCACAGCCAUGCGUGGUGUGAGUGAAGAAGUAAUUGACAGCUAGGUUAGGGGAACGGAACGUGUCAGGAGGACCUUGCCGGAAAAGAGGCAACGGGAGAAGCUGGCUGAGACGAGACCAACGAAGGGAGGCAUAUCACUAUUCCCAUGAAAGUGAAUUCGUCGGCGGCUUUCUUCACGAGCAGAUCUAGAUCUGUUGAAGGAGAAGCUGGUGUGAACCUUAAUUGAAGAAGGAUCUUGGACUAUACAAGUCGAGAAAGAGUCAACAACGACUAUCCAAACCAUGUUGGGCAACACGAGAGAAGAAGAUGAGUAAGGUAUGUCCGGCGGAUCUGGUGGGUCCGGUGGGUCCAGUGAGUGAAGAGUGCUUUGCGAAGUGUUCAUCACCCUAUAGUGAGAGAGUACACUAACAAGAUCUGGCGGACAUACUCGCCGGUGCUGCAGGUGGCUGGCGGAAAAAGAGAGUGGAGCAAGGUAAGAUCUCACCGAAAACCAUGGUGGAAACAAAGUAGAAAGAUCUCGCCGGCGAAUGGAAACCGACGGAAUAUGAGACAAGGUCUUCGGACGAGUGGAUCCGAGAGAGUGGAAGAAGAACGCCGUUCAAAAGGAGGUAGAGUCAACAAAAUUGUCGCCGGAGAAGACACAUGUAUGAACUCUUGUUUUGAGAGUGUAAGCUCUUAAACAAUGUAGCAGCAGCACAUAUUCAUGUUUUAUGCAGACUUGUGUUGCGUUAACACACGGUACUUAUGCUUGAAUGAAUCUGUGAGAACAAGGAGUUCUUUUCUCGGGUGGAGCAAUGGUUUCCCACUCUCUAUUUUCUUAUUCUUAGUAAGUUUUGGCAUUAUCAGAUUAUAGAGAAUGUUCCAGGAAGAAGAGCCAAGGUUGUUGAAACAGGUUCUUGGUGGUUAAAGUGGAUCAGGUCAAGUGGCUACAAGACGAAAGAGGAUGUGUCACAUGUUCAGACAUACUUUCUCAAGCUCUAAGACAUGGUUAACAUUGAAGAACAUGUGAAUUGUUCCAAGGAAUUGUUCAAAGCAACAUUAAAGAAUGGUUUUAACUUAGAUUGGUGAAGCUAAGGUUAUAGAGACAUAGUACAUCCAAGGGUUAUGGUUUCAGGUAUUGUUGCUACAAGAAAAGCAACGCAUAUCCUAAAGAUAUCUCCUGGUGGAGCUACGUUUGUUGGAUGAUUGUUCAGCUGAAAGUAAAGAGUUAAAAGGUUGCAUAACUUUGUUUCAGAGUGCUAAGAAGAAAGCAAGUUAAGCACAUAAGGUUAUCAAUGGGUGUUCAGCUUAAGCAUGGUUACAAUCUAAUGGUAAAAGGUUUGUUACAGAUUUGGUUUGAAGCUGGGUGUUGGUAAGGAUUGUCAGAAACAUAUUGCAGGUUUUCUAGAGAAGAGUUGCAGGUUUCUGGAGUUUUUCCAGAGAAUACACAAAUUUAUGGUCUGAGAUGAAGCUAUUGAAUUAAUUUCAGUUGUUUUUUUUUCUAAAGAAGAAACUGAAGGAGACAAAAGCAAGUGAUACAUGAUUUGUCUCAAGGGUGCUUACUUCAAGAAUGUGAAGGUGUUGUGUAUCUAACUAGAUAAACAACUCAUCUCAAAGCUAGUGUCAGAAGCUGGAAAAGAGAAGUCCUAGAAAGGAUGAAAAUGCAGAGAAAUCUAGCUGCACUUCGAAGAAACCAACUAAUGAGUUCAAAGUUGUUUGUUUGCAUAAUGAGGAGAAUACAUAAGUGUCUACUCAUGGGAAGUAAUUUGCAGGUCAGUCAAGUGAAUGAUCUAAAAGAAGAAGAGGGCCUUCCCUAAAGACUGCAAAUUGAAUAAUGCAAUAGCCAAAUUCGUUUUGGUGGAGGAUACAUACAAGAAAAAGUGAUGCAGGUUGUUCUUUACAGCUUGAAAGAGACAUCAAGGGUUCUAGAGUUGAUGUGUAAGCUGUUAUAAGGACGUGUCUCAGGGAUAUCACAAGGUCUUGCUGAUACGAGACAUUUAGGAUCCACACAAUAUAGGAUCCAAACAUCGACUUCCAUAGCUUAAUUGGUAUGGCUGCUAUAGGAGACUAAAGACUGCAAAUUGAAUGAUGCAGCCAAAGUCGUUUUGGUGGAGGUUGUAUACAAGAAAAAGUAAUGCUGGUUGUUCUUUAAAGCUUGAAAGAGAUCAAGGGUUCUAGAGUUGAUGUGUAAGCUGUUAUAAGGACGUGUCUCAGGGAUAUCACAAGGUUUUGCUGAUACGAGAUAUUUUAGGAUCCAAACAUCGAGUUCCAUUGUUAAUCGUUAUGGUUACUACAGGAGAUCAACUUUGCUCCUGAACUACUCAGUGAUUUAGCCAGUAACAAAGGAAGAGGUAAAUGACUCUCUGACAGAUGAGCAUGAGAUAACACAUUGAAGUACAUUGUACCAGGUAGUAACCUAAUACGUUUUAUUAUAAUAAGAUGAAAAGCAU